GCGCCCGUAGCUCAGCGGAGAGAGCACCGGACUCCGACUCCGGAGGUGGCUGGUUCGAAUCCAGCCGGGCGCAC
rnacentral:tRNA from 1 species